UACGUAGGUGGCAAGCGUUGUCCGGAAUUAUUGGGCGUAAAGCGCGCGCAGGCGGUCCUUUAAGUCUGAUGUGAAAGCCCACGGCUCAACCGUGGAGGGUCAUUGGAAACUGGGGGAUUUGAGUACAGAAGAGAAGAGUGGAAUUCCACGUGUAGCGGUGAAAUGCGUAGAGAUGUGGAGGAACACCAGUGGCGAAGGCGACUCUUUGGUCUGUAACUGACGCUGAGGCGCGAAAGCGUGGGGAGCAAACAGG
rnacentral:rRNA from 1 species